UACGAAGGGGGCUAGCGUUGCUCGGAAUCACUGGGCGUAAAGGGCGCGUAGGCGGCCAUUCAAGUCGGAGGUGAAAGCCCAGGGCUCAACCCUGGAAUUGCCUUCGAUACUGUUUGGCUAGAGACCGGAAGAGGUAAGUGGAACUGCGAGUGUAGAGGUGAAAUGCGUAGAUAUCGGGAGGAACACCUGUGGUGCAGACGGCUUACUGGACCACCACUGACGCUGAGGCACGAAAGCGUGGGUAGCAAACAGG
rnacentral:rRNA from 1 species